AUUGAACGCUGGCGGCAGGCCUAACACAUGCAAGUCGAACGAGUGGCGGACGGGUGAGUAAUGUCUGGGAAACUGCCCGAUGGAGGGGGAGAACUACUGGAAACGGUAGCUAAUACCGCAUACCAUCGGAUGUGCCCAGAUGGGAUUAGCUUGUAGGUGGGGUAACGGCUCACCUAGGAGACGAUCCCUAGCGGGUCUGAGAGGAUGACCAGCAACACUGGAACUGAGAACCGGUCCCGACUCCUACGGUGGGCAGCAGUGGGGAAUAUUGCACAAUGGGCGCAAGCCUGAUGCAGCCAUGCCGCGUGUAUGAAGAAGGCCUUCGGUUUGUAUAGUACUUUCAGCGGGGAGGCGUUACCCGCAGAAGAAGCACCGGCUAACUCCGUGCCAGCAGCCGCGGUAAUAC
rnacentral:rRNA from 1 species